rnacentral:lncRNA from 1 species
CAGUUGGAUUGUUUUCCGGGCUCACAAUCCAAAAAUCUUUACACUUUAGUUUUUCGGGUUCACCAAAAACCUAUGUUGGUUUUACGGGCUCACCAACGAACCUUUACAAUUGGUUUUCCGGGUUCACCAAUCAACCUAUUCCGUUGGUUUUGCGGAUUAACCAACCAACCUUUACAAGUAGUUUAAUAAACAAAGGAAGAUGAUUUAAACUCCUAGAUGAGCAAAUAUAAUAAUAUAAUCUACAAAGAAGAGUUUAGAGAAUAGUUAUCGCUUGAUAUGACUUCUCUCUUCUUUGUCAAGGAUGCUUCACUCUUCACAGGUGGAUGGAGCUCUUAAUGACUCUUUGAAUCUGCUCAACCACUUUCUUUUGACUCUUGAAUGAAGCACUUGGAUGAAGAAGAUUAGGGCACUUUGUCUUUCUUGUGUACUCUUUGAUAUUCUUGCAAAAAAGAUGUUCUCUCUAAUAAACAGUACCACUUUAAAUAGUUUUCUUCAUCCAUUGGACAAGCCCCAAUGGUUAGAAUUCAAAAACUAGCCA